rnacentral:rRNA from 1 species
GGAAGGUCCGGGCGUUAUCCGGAUUUAUUGGGUGUAAAGGGAGCGUAGACGGAAGAGCAAGUCUGAUGUGAAAGCCCGGGGCUCAACCCCGGGACUGCUUUGGAAACUGUGCAGCUAGAGUGUCNGAGAGGCAAGCGGAAUUCCUAGUGUAGCGGUGAAAUGCGUAGAGAUUAGGAAGAACACCGGUGGCGAAGGCGACUUUCUGGACGACAACUGACGCUGAGGCGCGAAAGCGUGGGGAGCAAAUAGGAUUAGAUACCCUGGUAGUCCACGCCGUAAACGAUGAAUGCUAGGUGUUGGAGGGUUUCCGCUCUUCAGUGCCGCAGCUAACGCAAUAAGCAUUCCGCCUGGGGGGU